GAUCCAGCCAUGCCGCGUGAGUGAAGAAGGCCUUCGGGUUGUAAAGCUCUUUCGGCCGGGAAGAAAUCGCAUGGGUGAAUACCCUGUGUGGAUGACGGUACCGGAACAAGAAGCACCGGCUAACUACGUGCCAGCAGCCGCGGUAAUACGUAGGGUGCGAGCGUUAAUCGGAAUUACUGGGCGUAAAGCGUGCGCAGGCGGUUUGGUAAGACAGGCGUGAAAUCCCCGGGCUUAACCUGGGAACUGCGCUUGUGACUGCCAGGCUAGAGUACGGCAGAGGGGGGUGGAAUUCCACGUGUAGCAGUGAAAUGCGUAGAGAUGUGGAGGAACACCAAUGGCGAAGGCAGCCCCCUGGGUCGAUACUGACGCUCAUGCACGAAAGCGUGGGUAGCAAACAGGAUUAGAUACCCUGGUAGUCCACGCCCUAAACGAUGUCAACUAGGUGUUGGGUGGGUAAAACCAUUUAGUACCGUAGCUAACGCGUGAAGUUGACCGCCUGGGGAGUACGGCCGCAAGGUUAAAAACUCAAAGGAAUUGACGGGGAC
rnacentral:rRNA from 1 species